GCUAGCAUGGUGUAGUGGUUUGAGUGUUGGACUACGACUCUGGAGACCAGGGUUCAAUUCCCUGCUCGGUCA